rnacentral:rRNA from 1 species
AGCGAACGCUGGCGGCAGGCCUAACACAUGCAAGUCGAACGAACUCUUCGGAGUUAGUGGCGGACGGGGGAGUAACACGUGGGAACGGGCCGGUAGGUUCGGAAUAACUCAGUGAAACUUGGGCUAAUACCGAAUGUGCCAUGCGGGGGAAAGAUUUAUCGCCCUUAGAGGGGCCCGCGUCUGUUUAGCCAGGUGGUGAGGUAAAGGCCCAUCAAGGCGACGAUCAGUAGCUGGGCUGAGAGGAUGAUCAGCCACAUUGGGACUGAGACACGGCCCAAACUCCUACGGGAGGCAGCAGUGGGGAAUCUUGCGCAAUGGGCGAAAGCCUGACGCAGCCAUGCCGCGUGAAUGAUGAAGGUCUUAGGAUUGUAAAAUUCUUUCACCGGGGACGAUAAUGACGGUACCCGGAGAAGAAGCCCCGGCUAACUUCGUG